UUGAGUGAGAAGGAAUCAAGCAGACUGGGGAAUCAUUUCACAUUCCAAUUUAGGAUUUUAGGGCUCCAUGAGGGAUGUUUUUCCAUUGCAUGGGAGUAAAAUCCUGCAACUCUGACUCCCUGGUCAUGAAGGCAUAGCUGUCCAGGGCUUCGGAGCAGCUACAGCAAAGGAGGCCUAAGGUCUGGGCAGUGGUCCCUGGAACUCCAGGAAUUUAAUAUAAAAGUGUGUUGGCUAAGGUAUUACUAAGGAGGGCAUCUGGAGAUCUGUGGUAAGUCAUGGAUUUCCCUAGUUCUCCUGAAGACUGGGAGGA